rnacentral:rRNA from 1 species
UACGUAGGGUGCAAGCGUUGUCCGGAAUUAUUGGGCGUAAAGAGCUCGUAGGUGGCCUGUCGCGUCGGCUGUGAAAACUCGGGGCUCAACUCCGAGCUUGCAGUCGAUACGGGCAGGCUAGAGUUCGGCAGGGGAGACUGGAAUUCCUGGUGUGGCGGUGAAAUGCGCAGAUAUCAGGAGGAACACCGGUGGCGAAGGCGGGUCUCUGGGCCGAUACUGACACUGAGGAGCGAAAGCGUGGGGAGCGAACAGG